GGAAAAAAACCUUUGGGCCAGAAAUAGAAUUAUUUUAACUAUUUAUUUACACAAUUGUUCUAUUCCAGACUGGAGUCGAUCUUGCUUCAAUCAUCAGACACCAUGUCUCGAAAUUUACUGAGAUUUCAUGAAGCCUCUUCUCACGCUUUAUAUCUAACACCAUUAGGAGUUUCAUGGUUAUUUUGCCUUCUAAUUUCUGAUCCCAAAGAUGCUGAGAGAAAUUCUGAAUCUUACCUUGAGGCAAGAGAAAGCUUAACAUGUUGAAAAGAAUUUAUGAGAAUCUUUGCCUCUGUUUUUCUUCUGUAAUAAAAUUCAGAUGCAGCCAAUUACUUACAUCAGUGUGCAAGCCACACCCUCAGUAAAGCGUAACGAGGUGAAUACUGAUUUCAAUCUUUCCAUCAGCAUUACUAUACAUCUUGUUUUUAGGCCAGUUUCAUUCACUGCUUCCAACACAGGUCAUGUGUAUCAGUUUGUAACAUGAAUGGUAUUAGAAAAUCUUUAGAAAUAUUUAUUUAUUUAUUUAAAUUAUUGCAACUUUAGAGCCCCCUGUGGUGAUACUGUAUGGAUGUCACACUCGAAUCUCAGUUGUCUUUGAUGUCAGACUGCACGACCAAGUUGCCAAGAUGGACAUACGGAAGAAGAAUCGUCCGGAAUGUUUCAUCAUCAGUCUGUGACACGUUCGGUGCCGGUUUUGCAGUCACUUCACUUCAGACAACUUCACAAUGUAAGAUCUUGAGGACUGGAUAGCCAUUCCCGAGCAUACCCAGAGAGAAUUGUCUAGAGUAAAUACAACACACACAGAGAGCAAAUGACGGAGACAUUACAAGCAUGACAACAACUCUAGGGGUCUUGGCAGAAACAACACUGCUUCAAACAAGACCUGUAGUCAAGCAACGGGGGUCUACAAACUCCUCCUCAUAGCAAUGAUGGAAAACAGCAGGCAGAUUAUUGUACAUCACGCUUAAACUGUGACCCUUGGUUGCUUUGCACAGUUUUAAUAAUUGCUGGUGGCUGAACAGUAUAAUGUUUGUAGUUCUAAUAUUCCAACAGACAACCAGCCUUUUUUGAUAUAUUUUUUUAUAUUUUUUAUUUUUUUAUUUUUUUUGACGGACGUCAUAACAUGCAUGAAGGGUGAAUUGUUUGCUUUUACGGUAUAAUGAAUAAUGUUCAUUAUACUUAUUAUAUGGAACAAAGUUUAUUUAAAAUAAAUGACAUGUUAUUCAGGCACUGACAUAUUUUGCUUGUCAAAAAUGUUACAUUCAGCUGUUGCAAAUUCAUUGACUUUAAAAUCAAGUUGUUGUUUUUUUUUAAAAGAAAAGGAGUGGUUUAGAUGCACAAAGUUGUUUUUAAUUUCUCUCAAAAUCUUUUAUUGUAACCCAUGAAAUGCAGGUCCUGUUGUAAAUACAAUACAUGGAAAAAUUAUUAUUUACAACAAAAUCUACAUACAGGAAUACAUACAUGAUUAUUUUUUAUUACAUUUUGCCAGUGUGACGCAUCAGUUCUCUCUAUGUUAAAUGUUAUUGUGAGAGCACUUGUCAGAAAAAACCAAGCUCAUAAUUAGCCCUAGGGGCUGCCCCAUGGCACUGCUCUAAUCAAGCACAGCUUCUGAUGUACAAGAACUGGCUCCUGACACACACAGAGAGAGUGGUAAGCAGAGAGAGAGAGAGAGAGAGAGAGAGAGAAAGAGUAGUAAGCCCAUGGCUCAUGUAAAAACACAAAACCAGAAUGCUGACCACCCUGCAUGAGUAAUAGAAUCAGCCAUAAAGCCAUUCAACGCAAGUCGCAGCUAUAAAGUCUUAAGAAUCAUUUCUUAGGGAUCUGUAGCUUCGGGCUCUUUUUAUAUCAGUGCAGCAGAUUAAGUUUAUUUUCUUUGUUUCAAAUGCAUGUGUGAACUGUCAGCUCUAACAGAUUUGAUAUGUAAUGUCAUUUAAUAAUGGAAUAAUCUCGACCCUGCAUCAUGCUUGUCUUAUGAAGUGCUCCAAACGGAAUGCAAAUGCAGAUCCUUCAGAACUGUUCUUUCAUCUAACACAAAGAAACUCUUUGACCUGACAUUUCUAAAGAAAUUUAGGGUCACACUUUUAAAAUUCAAAUGUAAUAUGUAUGCAUUAACGAGAUAUUUUCUGCUAUCAAGUAUGUAGAGCUAGUUUUACUUUUCCUUCUGUCACUGUGAAUGUGAGAUCUUUAUGUGAUGGGAGUGAAGUGAAAGCGGCUGUUCGUGUUAUGCAGGACAUUUUUGUGUCUCCAUCUUUUAUCAUUUAAUAUACUGGAUAAAAUAUCAAACUGCCCAUUUUUAAAGAUGAAAAUCACAUUGCUUGGUUUUCUUUUACAGUAUCAUUUUUAAAUAAUUUUACUUUGGUUUAUGAAGGUGAUGCCAUGUGUACAGUUUAUUUAAAUAAUAAUAAAAAGGUACAGUGUUGUUUUUUACUUACCAUAUUUCCUUUCUUUGUUCAUAUUUAAAAUAAUUCUAAAAUGUUUUGUUUUGAAAAUCAUUUGAAUUUCUCAAUUUAAUUUCAAUCCUAUUAAUCUUUUUUGCAAUAUAUCCAACAAAAUACAGUCCUUAAUAGCAUCCUCCUUUUGUAAGUUACAGUUUUUGUCGGAAAACAACAGCACAAAUGCAUUAUUAGCGAAGAUGUUUUAAAUUCAGUCUAUUAGAAGGUUUGUCUUUAAAUUAAAUUCAAGUUUUACAGCCUCAUGUUACCUAACUCUCUGUCUCCCAUACCUGAAUGUUUUUUUUUUUUUUGGAAUCCUGCUUGUUUUCUUGCCAUUUUGAAUAAUGAUGUUUUAAUUAAUCAAUUUUAAGUGCCUGAGCUUGAUCACAGUCUGUGUCAAAAAGUCUGGUAAAGCUUUUCAUUGAAAUACUUAGUUCAUUGAAGUAAGAUGCCUGCUGUAUGCGGACGACCUGUUUCUGUCUCCCACAGCUGAGGGUCUCCAGCAAAGCCUGUCCCCAAAUUUAACUCCGCUAUUUACUUGGAGAAGAUGACAUGGCAGACAAACAAGCUGCAAAAUAUG
ensembl:lncRNA